rnacentral:rRNA from 1 species
UAGGGAAUCUUCGGCAAUGGACGAAAGUCUGACCGAGCAACGCUGCGUGAGUGAAGAAGGUUUUCGGAUCGUAAAACUCUGUUGUUAGAGAAGAACAAGGACGUUAGUAACUGAACGUCCCCUGACGGUAUCUAACCAGAAAGCCACGGCUAACUACGUGACAGCAGCCGCGGUAAUACGUAGGUGGCAAGCGUUGUCCGGAUUUAUUGGGCGUAAAGCGAGCGCAGGCGGUUUCUUAAGUCUGAUGUGAAAGCCCCCGGCUCAACCGGGGAGGGUCAUUGGAAACUGGGAGACUUGAGUGCAGAAGAGGAGAGUGGAAUUCCAUGUGUAGCGGUGAAAUGCGUAGUUAUAUGGAGGAACACCAGUGGCGAAGGCGGCUCUCUGGUCUGUAACUGACGCUGAGGCUCGAAAGCGUGGGGAGCAAACAGG